rnacentral:sRNA from 1 species
GCCAGGUGCGGUGGCGUACACCUGUAAUCCCAGGGGCUCAGGAAGCUGAGACAGGAGGAUCGCGAGUUCAAAGCCAGUCUCAGCACAGCAAGGCACUAAGCAACUCAGUGAGACCCUGUCUCUA